AACGAACGCUGGCGGCAGGCUUAACACAUGCAAGUCGAACGCACCGCAAGGUGAGUGGCAGACGGGUGAGUAACGCGUGGGAACGUACCUUUCGGUUCGGAAUAACUCGGGGAAACUCGAGCUAAUACCGGAUACGCCCUUCGGGGGAAAGAUUUAUCGCCGAUAGAUCGGCCCGCGUUGGAUUAGCUAGUUGGUGAGGUAACGGCUCACCAAGGCGACGAUCCAUAGCUGGUCUAAGAGGAUGCUCAGCCACACUGGGACUGAGACACGGCCCAGACUCCUACGGGAGGCAGCAGUGGGGAAUAUUGGACAAUGGGGGAAACCCUGAUCCAGCCAUGCCGCGUGAGUGAUGAAGGCCUUAGGGUUGUAAAGCUCUUUCGCCUGGGAAGAUAAUGACGGUACCAGGAGAAGAAGCCCCGGCUAACUUCGUGCCAGCCGCCGCCGUAACAC
rnacentral:rRNA from 1 species